rnacentral:lncRNA from 1 species
GAAUCUUAUCUAUCUAAAAAUAAGCUUUUGAGCUAAAACAAAGUAGUGAUAAAUGAGAGUUUUUUUUUGUUUGAGAACUGUUUUAGUGAUAAAUGAUAUUAAUACUAGGAAGAUUGAUAGUGUUUCUUACUUGAUACUAAACUCAAAUAACAUGUUCAAAAGUUUUUCCAGUGAAUGCUAUAUUGACAACAAGAUUCGUACUUUGCAUGUUUCAUAGUGCAUAGGGUUUAAAUUAACAUUUCGAGUAACAUCUUGACUUUGAGUUUAUAUUUCAUUGGAAUCUAACCCGUCUCUGAGUUCCACUUGUGGUCAAUACGCGAUUUAGAGACUUGUGAACUUCAAAACAAAGUUGAACACUACCAAACCAGCUUUGACGAAAACGUGUUCAAAAACUCAAAAUGUAUAGCGGUUGGUCGGACCACGCGUAGUGAUCGGUCCUUUUGUGCUCUUGAGGUCAGAAUUUGAUUUUAUCAUUUAUGACCAUUUAUUCAAAAGCUUCAACCGACAAACCGGUCAACCACCGAUCAUAAAUUUAAACCUAACCAACGUACGAUAACAAUUAAACGACUAAGACACUUGGUCUAGUGAUCUAAACUACAUGAUAUUAUUGCUUAUUAUGUUCAAUUUAGACGGCUAGAUUGAAUUUAAAAUUACGUACAUCAGGCAUAUCCACAAUCUUAUUAUAUGCAAUCAAGAACUUUUAAAAGCCUACCUAAUUUUUUAUAGCUAUCAUGAAAGGAGUAGUUACAAUCUCUUUCAUAUAAGUUGAUUCUUGUGUACAAAACUUUUUAUAACUAAAUCUACCGCUUAACAACAAUGUGCAUGCCAAGUGAGUUCACAUGGUCAAUAUGCCUAUAUUUAUAUUUUAUUGGAUUUCUCCAUAAAAUUUUCACACCAUUUUCAAAUUAUUAAUUGUAGUAACAGUACAUCUAAUGAAAAUGGAUCUUCUGUCGAGAUUGCAUAUAUAUCCGUUAAUCGCAAUGAUACUUUAGUGGUUUAAAACUCUUAUAGACCACUUACUUAUAAGUUCACAAAUUAUAAGUUCACAAAAAGAUGUUAUUUUCUGAAUUACUCCAAAAAACUUUUUUUGCUGUAAUAUUCAUGAAUUAUUUUUGGCUUUUACAAGUCAAAUAACUCCGGUUCCCUGGCAGACACUUGAAGACAAAGCUUUCAAAAGUGUUUUUUCCUUAGUCUUUUUAGACAUUAUAAUAUAGUGGUAAUAUUUAGGAGUGGAAGAUAAGGCUGAAGUAUUGUGGUACUUAGUGUAUACAUGAUUAAAAGCAUAUCCGAUACCUUUACAAUAUUAGAAAAAUAUGGAUUUGGUUGAAAUAAAGCAGGUCGUAACCUAAUUAUUAACAACAAAUAGUUAAGCGGAUAUACUUUAGUAUUAAUUUCAAAGAAAAGGAGUUUCAGCCAAAGAGAAGCACUAGAACAAGUAGAAGACAAACCAAAACAUGCCUUUAUAUCAUCCUAUUAUUUAGAUAUAAUAAAACAGACCUUAUUGUUCUCUACCUUUUUGGUGGAUUUGCAUCAUCGUUAAACAUAUCAUCAGCUAAAAGUAAGAAUAAGGCAUGAGACACUCUGGUAUUGAAAACUCUUAAAUAUUAAACUAAAUUCAGUUUAUCUCACACAAAAGAUUCAUCAUGCACCAUGCCAAUACUUGAUAUUGAAGUGACAAAAAGAAACUCAUUAUAACAGCAAUGUUAUAGUGUAAUUGAAAAAUCUUCAAGUGGAAAAUAAAAUAAUGAGCAAAUGCUGCAACUUUACUCAAAGACCUGUUUCAUGUUUGAUAUAUUUAUGUUCUUUUUCUUUAUUUAUUUUAAUUAUAUCCAUGUAAAGGACGUGAAGAUAAUGAUUUACGAAUAUAAGUAUGUAUUAUAAGUAUUAUAACAAAAAGGGAUCACAAAUCUCCACCUUACAUGAUUGAAACCUAAUGUUGAAUUUGAGCUUUUUAGAAAGGGGACAUGAACUUAACUUUUGUAGUGAGCAACUACACGUUUAGGUACAACUGCCAUGGCAUUGGCAUCUCUUGACAUAUGCAUGCAAUGUAUAUAUAUUGUGUAUGUCAUAUUUAACAAUUAACAACCAUAUUGACUUGCAGAAUAUAUAACUAUUCAGUUGCUGACUAAUUAAGAGAAUAGAAUAACUAUUCAGCUAAAAUGCAUUUUCUCCAUUUCGCAAAGGAAUGUUUAAGGCCAUAUAUAUAACCAUUUUUACGUCUAUUAUCAUUAAAGCUAAUGCAUAUAAUUAAUUGUAUAUGCACAAGAUCACUAAUUUAUACUGUUUUAUUUGGGACUCGAAAUUUCUAGAAAGAUGCCUUACAAGUAAUAUAUUUAAAAGACCCUUUUAAUCGUCUGCUCAGAAUCCAUCAUUACCUGGAGCCGGUCCUGUUGCCAUAAUGAAAAGAAAAGCCAAUAUGUAUGCAAUGUAAUCUGUAAUGUAGACUAUGAUUUGUGUUAUACCUAUAGAUCGAUUAUGUCAAUAUCUAGACCGUUCUUUAUAUUUCUUAUAAGAAUUUUGCGUCAAUAGCAAUAUGCAAAACAUGUUAAGAAAACAACCGUUUUCGUACCAUUCAUUUUGUUUCUAAACGCUGAAAGAACCACGACAUAACAAUAUGCUACUCUUUUAGGAAAAUAAAUAGAAUAUGCAACUCUUCUAUGCGUAGAAAUUCUAAGACGUCAACUUUGAAAUGAAACUGUUAGUUCUGAAAACUACAUGCAACAUAGAUAUGACAAUCAUAUAUUAAAACACAUCUGGCUAACAUGCUCCAGAAAAUAACUGUUUUUUCUUGCCAAACGGUUUCUAGACACAACAGUAACUAGUACUGGUCUUGAGAUUUUAGAGGUAUAGAUAUUUGCUAUAAAUUUCAAUAAUUUUUCUUUUAACAAUUUGAAAGUCUAUAUUUAUGUAUAUCACAUAGGCUUAACAUUUUAGAACCGGUCCUUACACUAACUACAACAUAACAAUAUAUAGCUUCACUUGCCCUUCACGAAUAGGAUUUAAACACCAUUUUUGUUCUUUGUUGGGGAACUGAACUGCGCUACGCUAUUCAAUAUGAUCCUGUACAUAUCCAAUCUUAACAAAAAUUCCGAAUAACCAAACUAGCCAAUUUUUGUUCUAUUUUAACCAAUUUAAACUGAAUCCGAAAACAUCGGUUAAGUUUGGUAGAAAUUUCUGAAACCAAACUAACAGAAAACGUAACAAGAACUGUCUUGUACCAAGGGAGUUUAGAAGACUUGGACUUGUUGUUGUUGUUGUCAGUGUAUCUACUAAUUCUGUUUCCAGACAAGAGAUUAUCAGGAGGUUUGAGCGAGACUUUAUAUGAUUUGGAGAUUUGAUCAUUCACUGGCCAUAUGGCUUCUUUGCUUUCUUUCCUAUCUGAAUAAAACCUGCAGAGAUAGGGACUUUUUUUCUAAGCAGCACUAGUUUAAAUCUACAAUCACAACUUUUGAUAGCGCUAGGAACUUAUGAUAUGAAGCUAGUAAAUCACAACUUUACUUACGUCAUAAUGCUCAAAUCUCGAGUGUAUGUAUAAUAAAACAUCAAGAUGACAGAAGCAACAUGUGUUACAAUGACAAUGGAGUGAGAACCUCAAGUGAAUUUAUCAGUAUUUCAAUUAAGUUUCAUGUGUUAUCCAACUGAAUCUGAUCAGAGGAAAGAUGGAAAACUUUGCUUGCUAGUGAGCUAAAACGAUUCUCUAUACAAAUCAGCGAGUAAGAACAUUGCUAACACUUCAAUUCCCAAUCUGCAACUUGACACUAUUGAGUUCAACAUUCAAGUAUUUUGAAACUAUCUUGAAUGUUCCAAAAAAAAAGUCAGCUAAAAAAGAUAAGAUAACCAAUUCAUCACUCUAUAUUGGGUCAGGAUCAAACACUGAAGGAAGGAACAAGCUUCAAUUGUGAGCUCUAUAAUAAAAAGACUGUAUAUGAUUUACUGAUGAAGAAGAAACCAAUUGAGAGCGAAGAAGAAAACAGAGAACUUAUAUAAAUUUGACCCCUUCCAUUAAAAUAUUUACACACAAUCAUAAGAAAAAGAAGAAACAGACUUUCAAUCUGUCAAUGUAUCUUCAGUUAUCUACACUGUUGUUUCCCACUAAAUAAAUCCGAAAAAUACAAUUUGGAACCGACCUUUCAACACAUGGGAUCAAGCUUCCAAACACCGCUCAUGGCCAUCAUCAAUCAACUAGCGUCUACUCCAGUUCAUUCUAAAUUUCUCAUCACAUCCUGCAGCAAGUGAAAAAUCCCAAACUCUCAACAAACAAGUAUGAAGUGCUUAUUAACCUUCAAGUAAAGAUAAAAAAAAACUAAAGACUUACGAGUAGGAACAAUGGGAGUAAGGUCGAUUUUAAUCUUCAGAGCAGCGAUGGUAGCAAGAACAUCUUCGUUUCCAGUUGCCAUAAAGACUCUCAGAACUCUCUCAUUCAACUUCCCAGCUUUCAAUGUCCUCUUUAACAUUCCAAGAAGAAUCAAUUAGAAACACUAACUAAUCAUUAAUUUAUGAACAGAUACAAAAGACAUCAAACAAGUAAUCUGAGCCUAAGCACAGUACUAUCAACACGAGCGCAAAGCUAUUAACUUUACACUGAAUUCGAAAAACCCAUAAGACACAACUGAUCAAAAUGGAGAACUGAGAUGAAGAUUUUUUUUUAACUACCUCGAAGAGUUCAAGGACGAUGUGUUCAGGAAGAUGCGAUAGAUCGUUGAUGCGUGAGAUGUUUAACAAGGCGGCGUUUACGGUGAGGGAGAGCAGAGACGGAGGAGGAGGGUUUCUCAUUCGAUCCAGUCGAGAGGGAGAGGGAAGGGUUUGUUCCACACGAAAUCUGCGAGUCUCCCCGUCUUUGAUAUGUUCUGUCUCUUUCGUCUUUUCUUACAGAAUCGUUCACUUCUGUUUUUUCGCGUUUUUAGGCAAAGUAGCGUUUUGGGUCGCGGCGUUUGUAGAAAGUGUUUGGGUAUCUAUGCUAGCGAGCUUUUUAGCUGACGAUGGGCCGAAAUUAAUAGAAACCCAAUAAGUUUCUUAAAGUCCUUAUGAGCUGUAUUCUCAAGCCCAUUAUGAGAUGAUCUGGAUACGUUUCUAUAGAGAUGCACAAGUUUAAAUUAGCAAAACUGUAGAAUUGGAAGAGAAGUUUUUUUUUUCCUAUAGAUGUUUACAGAUAGCCAGUUUUUAGUAAACUUCCAUGUAAAAUGUAAAUAUUCAAAGCGUUAACUAAAAAGCUAUAUGUAAUGUACGCUAGAAAAUUGGUUAGUAAUAACCCCGGGUAAUAACUAAUAAGUUAAAUGUUGUUUUAACUGUGUAUAAAACCGGUCAAGUAUUGUCCAAAAAAUCAAGCGAGGUAUAGAGGAAACAACUGUUUAGAGGUUUGAACUAGGUGAAUGUGUAUAUCUAAAGUUAGUUUUCAAGUUCUUCACAAAAUAUGCAAGUCUUCAUUUGAAUGGUAUGUCAAAGUUUCCGGAUGGUUUUGAUUAAAAGACGUUAUAAUAUUUUACAAUUUUAUUCUAGUAUAGUUUUUCUUUAGAUGGACAGUUAAGUAAAGGGUCUGGAAUUUAUUAGCAGCAAAGCAAUAAAUGUUAUCUGUAUAGCACAUGGGAUUUUUUCCCUCUUCAUCAGGUUCAAUGUCUCAUUAAUCCAUCUCCUAUAGUCCUAUGUAUAUGUGUAUUGUGGCAUUUUAAUAUUGUUUCGUGAGAAAGAUGUCGAAUGCAAAAAAAUUCAAAAAUUGACGAAUCUCUUAAAUUCAAUUUUAGGUGGAGUUAUUAAAGAAUUUAAAACCAUGUAAUGACAAAUUAGUGGUUACAAGAGUGUCGGCGAUCUAACUUGAAAAAUUCAUUGUCCCAUUGAUCCCAACCCUAAGAUGUUUGUCAUUAUCUUCAUAUAUACAAGUAUUACUUAAAAACAAAAACGAAUUAGCUGGUCUGUGUUUUUUUGUAUGCUCUUGUGUAAGAAUUAUGAAGUCUACCACUUUUAUUUUGUUUGUGGCUUAUAUAUAGGUUUAUUGUCUCAUCAUAGUUUUUACUCAACCAAAUUCUUUUUUUUUUAUCAACUCUCAACCAAAUUCUAUAAUAUGUGAUUUAUCUCGUGCAUAUAUAUUUUAUUUUCUGUAGAUGUAUUCGGUUAGACAACAUUCAUCAUGUUUCGUGUAGAUGAGUCUAAUCGCUUUCUUUUGAGUAUUAUUAGUCCAAGCUUUGUUCCUCAUGCUAACAUCUAUGAUUUUGAUAUCUUUACCAUAUACAAUACGGUAUAAGCUAUCAUGUGGCCUCAGUUCAUCUUUGAGCUAUGACGAGUUCAAGUUCCACUUAGCCAGUUUUUUUAAUAAAAUGUUGGAAAUCAAAAUAAAGUAAAAACAAAUAGUUACAAUACUCCUUUUGUCAAAAAACAAUUCACGUCGUUGUUAUGUCAGUAACUAUUGGUCAAGUGGAGCAGGUGACUCCGAAAGAAAACAUGUAAAACCUAAAAUCUAGAGGGAGCAAAAUGUAUAUUUCUUCAAUAAGAAACUUUUAACUCUAUACCAUUAUAUCUUUCUGGAAGAUAACCUUUUACGUGUUUUCCUCCUUCAAAUUUUUUUUUUUAUUAUUUGUCUCCUUUAAACUUCUUACUUUAAAAAAGAUUUUGAAAUAUUUAAAUAAUUAGGUAGAAAUUUGAAGGUUAAGAGGUCUUAAGGAUAUGUAAUGAUGUACGUUCAAAGCGAGUGGACUUUCUAACUAUAAGACUAUCGCCAAGACAUUGAGCACCAAAACUUUUAGUGUCUAAUAUCUAUAUUUAUAAAAAUGCGAAAACAAAUAAUACUACUUAGAGUUUUAUCUGGUAAAUAAUUUAUUUUAAAUUCCAUUAAGUAUAUUUAAGAGAUAACCUUAAUUUUUAUAUUCAGAAUCUUCGAAAGGCCAAAUCGAAAAAUAAUAUUGAUCACAUUAUAUUUACCACACACAAAAAUCACAUUAUCUAUAUCAAAUUACAUAAACAGGUCAUGCAAUAGUACAAAUGUGUUGCCUUUUACAUAUAUACUCAUGAUGUCAAUAUGUAUACGUUUUUUUUUUGUUUGGGGAAAUAUAUAUUCACUACUGGAUAAUAAAACUAAUCAAAAGUACAGAGGACAAGAUUUCACUUCUGAGUCAUAACACGGAAAGGUAUCGAACCUUCUUAUAAUGCUGAUUUCUUGUUUCGUCCUGGAUCUCUCCCCUUUUCAGCAAAGUUGAAAAAGUUAAUCCACUGCCCAAAAAAAGUAAUGCCAAUAUUGUAGUACAACUAUAGUUCUAGACUUCUACUAUCUAGAACAGCCUGUUGAGAGUUUCGUGUGAACAUUUUGAAAUAGGGUUUUGUGUGAAAAACCCAAACAUAACAAUUGAAAAAAGGAAAGUGUUCUCUUCUGGUUUGACUUUAUAAGCUGGCCCCCACUAAAUCUCGAUAAACAGACUUGCUCUGCCUCUGGUUCCGUGUCCUCUUGUCUUGUGUUCCGUUCUCCAACUUUCCACUUUCUUAAUUUUUACAAAACUAUUUCACAAUUCACAUACACUAAAGUAACAAAAAUAUUGUGUGUUCACAAACAAAUGUUAUUGUCGCUAAGGACGAAGAAAGAUAUUGCGUUCAGUGCUCAUGAGCAAGUAGAAGUAUUGCUAGUUCGUUUGAGCUUAAUGACAAAAAAAAAGGAAUUAUCCUUGUUCAAGUACAACGUACUUUUUCCUACUUGGAAAAGUAACACUAAUUUUUUAUCCAUCCGGUCCGCUCGUAUUUACUUGAACCAUACGCUAGUUAAAUAACACCACAAUACGAAAGCAGGUUAAAUUUAUAUAAUAUUUUCUGAAAUAAAAAAUGCAUAAAAUUUAUGGAAGUUCCAUCUUGAAAUAAUAAUAGUAUAUUGGGAUUUGGUUUGUCUAGCUCAAAAUUAGGAGUCAUGUUAUGUUCACGAUAUUUUCAAAUGUAUUUGUUUAAUUUGUAUGUAAAAUUUGAAGUGACGGAGGAACCCCUGUUCGAUAAAGAAACUGUUAAAUUAGAAAGUAACAUUUUUUUUUCUUUUUUAAACAAAUUUUAGAGCACAGUAGAAUAAUAUUUGAAUAUAUCCAAGAACUAAUUUAUUUUAUUUGUUGUCAUUCUAUACUAAAAUCUUGUAGAAAGUACUUGGGGUAUUCUUUGUCUUGUUGAUUUAAACGAGGGAGCAUGGGAUUUGGUGAGAUCACAAUAUGUUAUUCAUGGAAAACCUAUUAUUCAAUUCACUCAUUCCCUGAUUUGUUUCUUCUCUUAAACUAAUCUUUGGUUUGACUUUACAUGUCUUGAGGUUAAAUCAGAUCCAAUCCUAUUAACUAUUUUAUAUAUUACUACUCUAGUUUCUAAAACUUGCAGAUUCAAGAGGCACACCCCUUUCUUGGUGUAACUGUUAAAUCUUAAAUGAAAUUUUUUCUUCUUCUGUCAUCAUCAAUGGUCCAACCUGUAACUCUCUCAUUCAUCACUCUCUUUUAGAAACCAAACCUCAGAAGAAACAGUGAAGCUUCUCUCUUUUUCUCUUACAGCUUCCAUGUCUGAAACCAACAACAAAGCUUAACUCUUUUGUAAGUAAGUAAGCAAGCAACCCUCUUCUUGAUUUGUCUUUUUUUUUUCUCACAAACCCUAUGAACUUUUCUCGAGAAAAUAUGAUCAAGACAACUCAGAAUCUCCUCUCUCCUUCAUCACUUCCACGAUCCAACACAAACUUCGAUCUGAACAGCAAGAUCAGUCCAAGCAUUCUCCUAAUAAUCAUAAUCCUCUCAAUUAUUUUCUUCAUCUCCGGCCUCCUCCAUCUCUUAGUCAGGUUCCUCCUCACGCCAUCGAGCAGAGACAGCGAAGAUUACUUCGACAACGUCACUGCUCUUCAAGGCCAGCUUCAGCAGCUUUUCCACCUCCACGAUUCCGGAGUCGACCAAUCCUUCAUCGACACGUUACCUGUUUUCCACUACAAGUUCAUCAUUGGUCUCAAGAACUACCCCUUUGAUUGCGCCGUGUGUCUCUGUGAGUUCGAAACAGAGGACAAGCUCAGGCUUUUGCCUAAAUGCAGCCACGCCUUUCACGUUGAUUGUAUCGACACGUGGCUUCUCUCUCACUCGACUUGUCCCUUGUGCAGAUCGAGUCUCCUCUCUGAUCUCUCUCCUCAGCGAGAUCCUCGUCCUUCGUUUCUCCUCGUUCUUGAAUCCGCUAGUGAGCAUAGCUCGAGAGAGAUUGCUUGUGUGGCUGGCAAUGAUGCGCAUACUAAUGCUCAUUCACGGUCCAAUUCUCAACUGGGUUUUGUCGGAAACAAUGAUAUUGGACCGACUCGGUUUGGUUCGGGUCGUGGAGACCAAAACCAAGAUGGUGAGUUGGGUGGUUCGGUUGAAAAGGUUUUUCCUUUUGCAGUUAAGUUAGGUAAAUUUAGGAACACUGAUAUUGAAGAAGGAAGUAAUAGCAACAACAACAUUUGUAAUAAUAGCAGUUUAGAUGAUAGGAGGUGUUUUUCAAUGGGGUCAUAUGAGUAUAUAAUGGAUGAAGAAACUGCACUUAAGGUUCAUGUUUCAACCAAGAAAGUACCAAGCAAGAACCGUCCCUUACCCGGCCACAGGGCGGCUAUGUCUGAAUGCGGUUUUGAUCCAUCAGGGAGAUUGAAAUUCAAUGGGAGCGGAUCGAUGAGGAUCGUUGAUGAGGCCACAGAGAAGAAUGUAGUUGAAAGGGAGAGUUUUUCGGUAUCGAAAAUUUGGCUAAGGGGUAAGAAGGAGAAACCUAGUAAGGUUCAAGGCAAAGAGGAUGGUUCAUUGGUUUCAUCAUCUUCAGGAAGAGCAUUCUCUUUGGUGCUAUCGAACCAGGAUGCGAAAAAUGAAAGCAGUUGUGAAGAAGUGAAUCAAAAGGGCGAAAACUCGUCAUCUUUGGAGGUGAAAACACCAUCGUUUACUAGGAGGACCAUGCUUUGGCUUGCAGGGAGACAAAACAAGGUUGUUCAUUCUUCUUCUUCAUCUAAUGUCUAGUUUCUAUAUACAUAUUUCUUUUCAAGUUUUAGUUAUUUUUCAAUUGUUACUUUGUGUUAGUCCUCAUAAGUGCAAAACCAGAUGAAUCAUUGUAGAAACAUGGUGUUGAGAUAUAUUGUUAGACAUAGAGGUUGAAAACAUUUUGGUGCGUCAUACUUGCCAAUCCUUUUCGGUUGUUAAAUAUAUGGACCAGACAAUUAAUAGUCGAUCCCAUCUAACCAGAAAACAACUCAACUAAAUGUAAUGAAUGAUUGAAUUAGAGAUGGAAAAUAGAUUUCCGAAGAUUCAAAUCUUUGGUAUUAUUGUUGAAGAAGCCGUAAAAAAUUCGUUACUUGAAUAGUAGUGUUCAUCUUUUGGAUGAUGACUUUAUUUCUAAAUGUAUAAUGGAAAAUACAAAUUUUCUUUUCAACAAUAAAAUAAGUACUAGAUUUUGAUCCGCGCUUUUUAAGUGCGAGGUUACCAUUUGAUUAAAAUAUUUUUAUGCAAUGAAAAUUAUAAUUUGUAUACAUAAUAGUUUUAUUUUUAUAAAAAAAAUAUAAUUUCUGUUUAAUUUGUAUGCUCUAAUUUAUCUUAGACUUACUAAAAUUUUGGAAAAUUCAAAUUAUUUGGACCCACAUAUAGUUUUUUUGAUCAUUUGUAUCUUUUAUAGAAAAAAAAAUUUAAAUUACUGAUAACCAAAUUUUCAUUGUGGAAUUAAUAGUUUUAUUAAUUUAUAAUUUUUAAAAAAAUAAGUUGUCAAUGAUCGUUCCAUAAUCCAUAUUUUUAAUCAUUUCACAUUUGAUCAAAAUUUAUUCAAAUAUAUUAAUAUGUUUGUUCAACCCACUUCGUACAAAAUCACAAAGUUAUUCGGACAUUUUAAAUAAAUAUUUAAAAUCAUAAAAUUUUAUGGUAUAGGAAUAUUUUGAAUAUAUCCAUAAAUUAUUGAUUUUUAUUUUGCGUUAUAAAUUUUAAUUUUUUGUUUUUUCAAAUCAGUUAGCAUUGUCAACUAAAAACUUUAUACUAAUAGUGUAGGCUAGGAAAUAAAGUUGGGUACACAAUAUGAGUAGGAAUAUUUGUGUAGAAAAUAUGGAAAGUUAGUAUAUUUUGUGGAUCCAACACGUUUAAAAUAGUGUAUUUGAUGAUCUUAGAAAUGCAAACGAUAUUCCUAAGUAAUAUUUUAGUAGAAUAUAUGAAAAUUUAUAUAUUUUGGGAAUCCUAAUAUUUUCAAACUUUAAUUUUUAAAAAAAUCGUGGCUUUAAUGAUGUAUAGUCGUCCACAAGAUAUUCCUAGUAAUAUAUGCUUUGAAGUUACGGAAGUUAUAUAUUUCCAUAUAUGGUAAAUCUUCGAAACUUAAAAGCACAAAACCGUGCUUUUCAAAUUAUUCCUCAGGAUAUCUUCACACAAUAUUGAUGCUAAAAAUCAUAAAUGAUAACGAAAAUAAAAAAUGCUUACAUAUUUUAGUUGAGAUGCUUAUAACUAAAAUAGCUUCUUCAUAUUACACGUCAUGUUACAGUGUAGGGUUUUGUUACUUAGGGCUUAAGGUUAUACUAUUCCACUAGGUUAAGAUCCGCGCUUUGCGCGGGAUCAACAUUAUAUAUAUAAAUUAUUUUAGAGCUAAUUAGGUAGAUAUACACAAAUGUUUGAGAUACCAUUGUUUUUGGGGUAAAAAGGGGGUAAAAAAUGGGGAGAAAUAGGGUAUACACCUAAAUAUGAUAUAAUGUUUGGGUAGCGAGUGCAUUUACUUAUUAUUUUAUGUAUUAAAUAUUUUUACAUAUUAAUUCAUAAUAAAUAUAUAUUAAAUAAUUAAAAGUCAGUAACUAUUAAAUAUAUAAUUAAAUUGGUGCGAACAUAUAAAUCAAUUUUAUUAAUCCAAAAAAUAUUUUUUUAUAUAUUUGAUAGGAUAUGUUAUUAAAUUUAAAUGAUACUAACAUAGAUAAUAUAUUUAGUAUAUUUUUAAUAUUAAUGUCUAUUAAAUGAUAUUUCUACUCAUAUAGUUUUUUUGAUCAUUUGUAUCUUUUAUAGAAAAAAAAAUUUAAAUUACUGAUAACCAAAUUUUCAUUGUGGAAUUAAUAGUUUUAUUAAUUUAUAAUUUUUAAAAAAAUAAGUUGUCAAUGAUCGUUCAAUUUUAUCAAAAAAAUUGUUCAAAGUAAAUUUUGAAACUAAAAUAUUGUAUUUUAUAGUUUAAUUUAAAACGAUAUAUAUAUUAAUAUUAAUAAUUAAUUAAAUUAGACUUUUUACUUAUAUAAUUUUGGUAAUCAUUUGUAUUUUGUCAUAACAAAAAUUUUAAACCAUGGAUCAUAAAAUUUGAAUGUGAGACUUUUAACAGUUUUAGUAAUUUAUAGCCUUUUGUAAAAAUUCAAAAUAUAACAUGUACAUACAAAUCUAAUUUUUUAUCAUACGGUUAUUGUGGUUGUUUAAUUUAUUUAAUAGUUUAAAAUUAAACAAAUAUGAUAGAAGAUACACUAUUUUUUAUCAAAUCUUUAUUAUUCAAAAUCAUUAAUUGCCAUAUAUACUUUAGCCACAUUAGGCAAUUCCGUAAAUUUUAUUUAAGGAAAUAAUAAAGUACAUUAAUGAUGAAUUUAUUGUUAGUUUAAUAAAAAGCUUAUUAUAUAAUUAGAUGGACCAACAUAUUUCUCUAAUGAUUCUAAGAAUCAUUCUAGUGAUGACAUGUGGCUACAAAAAGAAUUUGUAAUGUUUCUCAAAUAAUAUAUAGGGGCUUAUUAUAUAAUUAGAUGAACCAACAUAUUUCUCUAAUGAUUCUAAGAAUCAUUCUAGUGAUGACAUGUGGCUACAAAAAGAAGUUAUAAUGUUUCUCAAAUAAUAUAUAGGGGAUUUUACAUAAGUGAUGACAUGUGGCUACAAAAAGAAUUUGUAAUGUUUCUCAAAUAAUAUAUAGGGGAUUACUUGAUAUUUUUGCUACCACAUUCAAACGUAGAUUAUUAACAAAAAUUUUAAACCAUGGAUCAUAAAAUUUGAAUGUGAGACUUUUAACAGUUUUAGUAAUUUAUAGCCUUUUGUAAAAAUUCAAAAUAUAACAUGUACAUACAAAUCUAAUUUUUUAUCAUACGGUUAUUGUGGUUGUUUAAUUUAUUUAAUAGUUUAAAAUUAAACAAAUAUGAUAGAAGAUACACUAUUUUUUAUCAAAUCUUUAUUAUUCAAAAUCAUUAAUUGCCAUAUAUACUUUAGCCACAUUAGGCAAUUCCGUAAAUUUUAAACAUGUUUUAAAUAACAAAUAAUAUUUAUAAAACUAACUAUUGUUUGUUUUGGUUUUGAUAGAGUAUGCUUACACUCUCAAAGUGGAUGAGAAGAGUGAUGUUUAUAGUUUUGGAGUGGUGUUAUUGGAGCUGAUAGCUGGGAAGAAACCGGUUGGUGAGUUUGGGGAAGGAGUGGAUAUAGUGAGGUGGGUGAGGAACACGGAGGGUGAGAUACCUCAGCCGUCGGAUGCAGCUACUGUUGUUGCGAUCGUCGACCAGAGGUUGACUGGUUACCCGUUGACUAGUGUGAUUCACGUGUUCAAGAUAGCGAUGAUGUGUGUGGAGGAUGAGGCAACGACAAGGCCGACGAUGAGGGAAGUUGUGCACAUGCUCACUAACCCUCCUAAGUCCGUGACUAACUUGAUCGCCUUCUGAGCCAGUCAAAGACUAAUGAAAAAAAUAAGAUGUGUUGUGUGUGAUGCUAAUAUUUUUUUUUUUUGUGGUCUCUAAGUGGACAUAUAUUGUUUAAAAUUACUUUUGAGUUGUAUGUAUAUUUGCUGUGUACUUAUCAGUUCGAUUUGUAUAUCUUCUUAUCUACUGGAGUCUGUAAUGCGAUCAGUAUGCUUAUUAAUGAUUGCUCUAAAAACUUUCAUGUUUAUUGAGUUCUUGGUCCCCUUAAACUGCUAUGACUCUAUGAGCUAUCAAAACCCAUUAGCUGCUGGUCGUUAAGCAAGAUCUGCAUCAACUAAAGAAACACAAUGUUAAGAUCUACAAAAAAAACAAGAAGGUUGUGUUAUCAACAAGAUCAGACAAACAUUGUGUCUAGAUCAAAGAUGACAAUGAUAUGGAGACAAUCCAAUGGGAGAUCACUUUCUUCUUCUCUCAUAAAACAGAUCUUCAGCUGCUAUAUUCCAC